CUCACUCUAGCCUGGGCAACAAAGCGAGACUCUGUCUCAAAAACAAAAAAACUAUGAAGCUAAUGGCUCCCUUUCACGUGAUUUGCUUUAAUUAUCAAGAAUCAAAUAUAUAAAUGAAACUUUUCUCAAGUAACUUUAUGAGUUUCCCCAUGAAUAUGCAUUUAAAAGACAGAAGGCCUCUUUCCCUUCUUCCCAACUACACGCACGCACACAGAGCUCUGCCGUGCACUAUCAACAUAUGCUCACUCCUGAAGAAAAAUUUAAUUUCAUGACCCACCUAAAAUAUCGACAUCUAAAUGUAGACUUUUUUUCCAUUGGAAAAGCUGCUGCAACAAUACCCCUACGAGGUAAAGAGAAAAAAAACAAAACACAGGAGUAUACACAUUUCUGUGGUAUGUCAAAUGGUCAUUUACCAUGUGACCCAGGCACAGGACAGGCUUUGGGGUAGGGAAGCUGCUCCCUGGCUUUAGCCAUGCUGGGCCAAAGUGUGGCUGUGGUUGGUUAUCAGAUGCGUCUACUGGUUCGCUCCUUUCAGUAUUCAUGUUCAAAAUCUUAGGGGACAGUUUUAAUGCCAAACUUUUGUAGUAACAAUGGAAAGAGCCCGAAUCCACACUGGGGAAUGAAUAGGCAGGAUCCCAUAAAUAGAUCAUUGGACAUACAAAUAUUGUAUGGUAUGGUCUGACCCUAAUUCCCAAAUCCUUCACCAAAGGAUUGGUGAAGCCUUGAGCUGGUCCCAUUUGGCUCCUCUUCUGUGUCCUUUUCUGUCCAAGUUCCACACGUGACAUAAGAAAAAGGCCUCUUCCUUAAUCAUAAAAGAUUUUGUGCUGUUAUUGGUAGCCACUAUUAUUAUAACAAUGAUUCUUUUCACCAUUUAUUGAUAUCCUAGUAUAUGUCAAGGACUGUACCAAACAAACUGCACAUAUUUUCCAAAUUCUCAUGACUCCAUAAGGAAAUAAGGGCCCAGAAAGGUCACAUGGUUUAGUGAUUGCCAAGGCCGUGAAGGCAAUGAAAUUGAUCACCUGCAAUGGGAUCAGGGAAUUGGGUGGAAGGGAUACAGAAGGGAGUUUCACUUCUUUUCCUGCCUUUUUCCAUAGUUUGACUUUUGGAAGCAUAUUAAUGUUCUACAAAUUAAAAAUUAAGUUAAAUCAACCAGGAUGAGAAGGGGGGAAACCUAAAACAAAAACAAACUGCAACAAGCAAACACAAUUGUAUUUCAAAUGUAUACCAUAACUGCACAAAGCAGGGGGGGAAGAACUAAUCCAAGUGAUUUAUAAAUACAGUAUUUGAUUAUAUACCUUCAGUCUUGGUUGGGGGAUGCAAUGGGUGAAUACUGAAAACAAAUCUUUUACCCCUCAAAUCCUGUACUAACCAAUGAAUGCUAAAUAUAGAGGAAAUGUUGAUGGGUAGCAGGAUUUUCUUCCACCAAUCCCCAGGUUGCUUAUUAGUCACAAGGGAAAACAUAAUAACUAUGAGCAAACAAAUAAUACAAUACUUUCACCGUGUCAUCAAAGUUAACAUUACUAAUGAUGGGCAAAUAGACACUAUUUGCUUCUAGAUAUGAUACAUUGAAAAAGAUACAUCAUUCUUAUGUGGUAUUCCAGCCAGUUGUGUGUAACUUGAAAUAAAUCAUGAGGAGAUAGCGAAAAAUUCCAAAUGAGGAAUGUUGUGUAUUUUGCAUACUUCAAAAAUACCAAUAUCAAGGAAGACAAAGAAGCCCUGUGGAGAUAUUCCAAUAAAAGGUUGAUAACUAAAUGCAAUAUUUGAUCCUAGAAUGAACCCCACAAUGGAAGAAAAAAUGCUAUAAAGAUGUUAUUGUGUUAAUGGACAAAAUUGACAUAUGGAUAAUGGACUAGAUUAAAAAAAAUGAAGGAACUUGCUGAAGGUCAUGGAAUUUUAAAGUGGACCUGUCUGAGUCUGAAGCCCAUGCUCAGUCUGGCUAUAUAUGCUGAAACGUAGAAUUCACACUGCACACAUCAAUGAACUCUGGGAAUAUUAUGGUUUCAUAAGGCCAGAAGAUUCCUUCCCUUUGUGAAUCAUCCCCCCCAAUAUGACCUGAAGGUCUGUUAUAGAGGAACCAGAUUUUGUAAAAUAGUGAUUUCAUAGGGCUAUUCUUAGUGGUAUGAUUUUGGCCCCAAAGCUUUUAAGGAAGACCCUUAGACGGUCCUGUCAUUAUGUUUGGAGAAAAUGAGAGAGGAAGCGCACAGGAAAUGUUGCCAGCUCCUGCAUGUCUAAAGGCAAAAGCCCUGCCUUGUGUCGUGCUUCCAAACAUUAAGAUCGUCUGCAUGGGAAAGCACUAGAGAAUACAAAGGAAUCAAAUCCAGAAGAGCACAAAGAAGCAGGUUCAAAUGAGCAGAAGGACAGUCACAGUUGCAGACAGUGACAAUAGUUGAGGUGACUCCCCUCUGCCUAUGACCCUGUGAAGCCGAGGAUGAUUCAAAACGUUGUCAGCAGCAGGCCCUGGGUAGACAGCUACGUCUGCACUUGAAAGUCGAACAAACAAAAGGGAACAGAAGACACCUUGAAUAUUUCAGCCUCAGUCUAUCCUGCUUUGUUUAUACAUCCUUUGCCUGAGAAACGGAGUCCUGCUACUACUAAUCACACCUACCGUUUAUGGGGCACUUACCGGACACCAGGCACCACUGUUUAUAACCAUUAUCGGAAUUUCUCCUCUCAACAUGCUUGUGAACUAGCUGAUGUUUCGAGAAGUGUCUAACUUGGCCAAGGUUGCGUGGCCAGCAGCUUGAGAGACAGACACUCAAACUGAGACCAGUGUUAACAAGACUUACUCAAGAGUCCAUGCCCUUGACCACAAGGGCUCACUGUGUGAGUUUCUAACGUCCUGUGAUUUAGUGACUGUCAUUUAAAUCGAGAUGGCUUUUCCCCAGUAUCCUGGUCACAUCACAACACUAAAACAAGGUGGUGUUUCCAAGCAAAGGUGAGCAACAGAAAAUGAAUUUAGUGAGUGCAUUCCAUCUUCGGCUGCUAAAUUUCAGUGUCAAUUCAGUGCCUGCUUUCCCAGUCAGUAAAUAAAGCUAAAGAUAAUAAAGCAACGGUUUGGGACAUGAAAAUGACUACCGAGCAUACCCCAAACUUCACAGCUCCCUUCAAGAUGAAAGUGGCUUGAUUGUUGUCUGUUUCUGUACCUUGAGCACCAUGUCGUCCCUGACUACGCUGACUAGAAAUGAGCUUCGAUCAAUCCGAUCAAUCCCUCAUCUCCGGCUGAGGGGGGACAGGGUUGGAGAGUGGAAUAAAUAUGUGUGAGUUGGGCCUGAGGUUUGUUUGUGGAAUCCAGUCAUUAUGGAAAGCAGAGCUUGUAAACAUCAUGACUUUUGUGGAAAUGGAAGACGCUGUGAGGGAAACGCAAUUCAGGUUUCCAUCCACGAUAGAGGUGUCAUAUCAAUGCUAAGAGAUGGCAAGUGGGGUCUGUUUCCCGGGAGUCCUUUCCUCUCUGAACACUUCUUAGGAUUUUCUUUACGUCGGUUCAAAGAUUUUCUUUUUCUUUCUUUUAGAGAUUACAAAGGUAUUUUAUUUUUAAAGAGCUCAGUUCCAGAAUGAGAAGUCUAGUGAUGCCCUGUUCUCUUUCACACACCUCCCAGAGAACAGAGAACUUGGGGGCCAUUCCACUCAUCUGCCAGCCACGACAGAUGGUCUGACAGAGGUAUCAGAAGGUCCUCAGAAGAACUUUUGACUGAGAGAUCAGACAUUACUUCUCUGAAAUUGUGACGCGAGGGGCUCGAUUCAGAUGUAAUUGUAUUUUUCUCAUCCUCACAGUCCUCCCAGUUCAUCCUGAUUUCUUCAUAGCCAAGUUUUGACACCGAAGCUUAUUUUUCAAUAAGGCUGAAUGCUCGGGGCUGUUGCUCACCAUUCUCCCUGCAGCCGGUGCUAAAGUGCUGGUCAGUGUUCGAGAUAAACUUUUAUUAGAGUGUUUCCAUUAAGAUGCUUCAAGGCCAUUACGUCAAGGAAUGAGACACAUCUAUCUUGCUCUGGUUUAAUUGCAGAGAGGAAGGUUGGUUUUAUAUGCUAUAAAGCUACUUUCAGGGAACAUAGAGCUUCAUAUCUAUAGUUACAGGGUUUCUUUUUGUUGAAACCUUCAAUUUCUCUUAACACAGCUGAAAUUAUAAUGCAGUUCUGUUUUAUGAGGCUCCUGAAAUAGUGGCUACAGUCACUGCCUGGUUUACCAAGUUGACAAUGACAUGUACAACAUGAAGCGUUAGGAGCCAGCUCAGCCAGCUUCGCGGCAGCAGUUCACAGGAUUUGCAUGCACUGCCUGGAGGAGUUCUCUCCGUGUCCUCCGCCAUAUUGCUUUCCUCCUUGACAGUAGCUCCUUGGAGCCUCCCCU